rnacentral:rRNA from 1 species
UACGUAUGGUGCAAGCGUUAUCCGGAUUUACUGGGUGUAAAGGGAGCGCAGGCGGUGCGGCAAGUCUGAUGUGAAAGCCCGGGGCUCAACCCCGGUACUGCAUUGGAAACUGCCCAUCUUGAGUGCCGGAGGGGUAAGCGGAAUUCCUAGUGUAGCGGUGAAAUGCGUAGAUAUUAGGAGGAACACCAGUGGCGAAGGUGGAUGACUGGACGGCAACUGACGGUGAGGCGCGAAAGCGUGGGGAGCAAACAGG